rnacentral:rRNA from 1 species
UGAGGAAUAUUGGUCAAUGGACGCAAGUCUGAACCAGCCAAGUAGCGUGCAGGAUGACGGCCCUAUGGGUUGUAAACUGCUUUUAUAUGGGGAUAAAGUGGGGAACGUGUUCCCUUUUGCAGGUACCAUAUGAAUAAGGACCGGCUAAUUCCGUGCCAGCAGCCGCGGUAAUACGGAAGGUUCGGGCGUUAUCCGGAUUUAUUGGGCGUAAAGCGAGCGCAGGCGGUUAGAAAAGUCUGAAGUGAAAGGCAGUGGCUCAACCAUUGUAGGCUUUGGAAACUGUUUAACUUGAGUGCAGAAGGGGAGAGUGGAAUUCCAUGUGUAGCGGUGAAAUGCGUAGAUAUAUGGAGGAACACCGGUGGCGAAAGCGGCUCUCUGGUCUGUAACUGACGCUGAGGCUCGAAAGCGUGGGGAGCGAACAGG